GUGCCAGCCGCCGCGGUAAGACAGAGGGUGCGAACGUUGCUCGGAAUCACUGGGCGUAAAGCGCGUGUAGGCGGCUUGUCACGUCGGAUGUGAAAGCCCGGGGCUCAACCCCGGAAGUGCAUCCGAAACGAAGAAGCUAGAGUACGAGAGAGGCAAGCGGAAUUCCCGGUGUAGAGGUGAAAUUCGUAGAUAUCGGGAGGAACACCAGUGGCGAAGGCGGCUUGCUGGCUCGUGACUGACGCUGAGACGCGAAAGCGUGGGGAGCAAACAGGAUUAGAUACCCCCGUAGUCC
rnacentral:rRNA from 1 species